rnacentral:rRNA from 1 species
CGGACGGGUGAGUAAUGUCUGGGAAACUGCCCGAUGGAGGGGGAUAACUACUGGAAACGGUAGCUAAUACCGCAUAACGUCGCAAGACCAAAGAGGGGGACCUUCGGGCCACUUGCCAUCGGAUGUGCCCAGAUGGGAUUAGCUAGUAGGUGGGGUAACGGCUCACCUAGGCGACGAUCCCUAGCUGGUCUGAGAGGAUGACCAGCCACACUGGAACUGAGACACGGUCCAG